rnacentral:rRNA from 1 species
AAUCAACGCUGGCGGCGUGCCUCAGACAUGCAAGUCGAACGCGAAAGUCCCCCUUCGGGGGGACAAGUAGAGUGGCGCACGGGUGAGUAACACGUAGGUAAUCUACCUUCGGAUGGGGAAUAACAAUCGGAAACGGUUGCUAAUACCGCAUAAUGCAGCGGCACCUAAUGGUGACAGUUGUUAAAGCGGGGGAUCGAAAGACCUCGCGUCUGAAGAGGAGCCUGCGGCGGAUUAGCAGUUGGUAAGGUAAUGGCUUACCAAGGCGACGAUCCGUAACCGGCCUGAGAGGGGCGGUCGGUCACACUGACACUGACAUACGGGUCAGACUCCUACGGGAGGCAGCAGUCGGGAAUUUUGGGCAAUGGGCGAAAGCCUGACCCAGCAACGCCGCGUGAAGGAUAGAAAUCCCUCGGGAU